GCAGGAGGUGGAAAAGCCACACGAAGAGGAAGAAUGGAAGCCAGUGACUCAGUUUAACAGGAGACACUGGAGUCAAUGUGAUACCACACCUUCCCCAAACAUAAGGUCCAAAAAGCUUCUCUCCUGUUGCCAAAAAUUCUUCUAUCACCCCGUUGUACUCCUCCUUGGCAGCACCAAUCAGGCAGGGCUCAGCCCACACCCGGCUCCUAAAGACAAGAGAGCAGAGAAAGCAGAAUGGUGUUUAGAGACCAUCGCAGUGACCUGAUCCUGAAAGCACCUGUAGGAAAUUGGCCUCCGCCAAGUGAAUGUGACAAUGCAGUCAGCCACAGUGACGGAGUGCAAGAUCGGAUCACCACACAGAUCCAAGAGACCGCUCACCACACCUGAGAAACAAGAACCCAAGACAGCCUCAUGGAGGUGGAACCGUGCUAUGCAGUUAUGGCUUCGCUACUGAAUGCGAUCUUGCAAAAGUGAUUUAACCUCUGUGAGCCUCAGUUUCCUCAUCUGUAAAAUGAGUGAAGAUUAAAUAAGACAACACACAAAAGCCCUUCAAACAGCGGUUUAUACAGUAAAUGUUAGUUUUCUUCUCCCUACUUAUAGGAGAGGUAAGAAAGCGUUCUAAUAAUAGAAUCUGGAAUUGAAUAAAACCUUAAGAGACAAA
rnacentral:antisense_RNA from 1 species